rnacentral:rRNA from 1 species
UGGAAAGCGUCGCCAUAGACCGUGACAGCCGGGUAGGAGACAGGGCCGUGACCCGAUCUGAUGCUCUUGAGUAGCGCCGAACACGAGCAAUUCGGCGUGAAGCUGGGGGGCCCACCUCCCAAGGCUACAUACACGCAGUGACCGAUAGCGCACAGUACCGUGAGGGAAAGGUGAAAAGUACCCCGGAGAGGGGAGUGAAAUAGAUCCUGAAACCGUCUGCUUCCGUGCAGUCGAAGGGGUAGGGCGUAAGCCACCCUGACGGCGUGCCUUUUGGAGUAUGAUCCGACGAGUUACCCUCAGUGGCCGGUUAAGCCAGUCAUAGGCGGAGCCACAGCGAAAGCGAGUGUGAAUAGCGCGUGUGUCGCUGGGGGUAGACCCGAAACCGCUUGAGCUAUCCAUGGUCAGGCUGAAGCGUCCGUAACAGGACGUGGAGGGCCGAACCGGUGUAGGUUACAAACUGCUCGGAUGAACUGUGGAUAGGGGUGAAAUGCCAAUCGAAAGCGGAGAUAGCUGGUUCUCCCCGAAAUGCAUUGAGGUGCAGCCCGGAUGUAGGGGCUGCCUGAGGUAGAGCACUGUUGUUGUGCGGGGGCUUCACCGCCUACCAAGCGACGGCAAACUCCGAAUGCAGGCAGCACACCACCGGAGUGAGACAGUGGGCGCAAACGUUCAUUGUCAAAAGGGAAACAACCCAGACCUGCAGCUAAGGUCCCGAAAUCCAUGCUGAGUGGCAAAGGAUGUGUCGUUGCACAAACAACCAGGAGGUUGGCUUAGAAGCAGCCACCCUUGAAAGAGUGCGUAACAGCUCACUGGUCGAGUGACGGCGCGCCGAUAAUCCAGCGGGGCAAAGCUUGGUACCGAAGCUCAGGAUGCAGCCAUUUUUGGCUGCGUGGUAGGGGAGCGUCGGCAGGCCGGCGAAGCGGCAGCGGAAGCCAGCCGUGGAGGCCUGUCGAGUGCGAAUGUCGGAACGAGUAACAGAGAAGUGGAGUGCGAACCUCCACCACCGGAAGCCUAAGGGUUCCGCCGCAAGGGUGAUCCGCGGCGGGUUAGUCGGGCCUAAGGGGCGCCUCAGCAGGCGUGCACCGAUGGACAACGGGUCGAUAUUCCCGUACUAGCGUGUAGUCGUUUGACCAGAGCCGGAUGCUGAUGGGGAGCUGCUGCGGCGAGACGUGCGCCGUCCAAGCUGGUAGGGAGAGGCUGGUUCAUCCCAGUCUCGUUGACCGAGAGGCGAGAGCGAGGGCAGGUGGCAACACCGCGCCCAAGAGCGGGGCACCUAGGCAGUCGAGAAAGGCCGGCGCGGGAGACUACUGCUACCCGUACCGCAAACCGACACAGGUAGGCUGGCUGAGCAAGCUAAGGUGGACGAGUGAUCUCGGGUUAAGGAACUCGGCAAUUUGACCCCGUACCUUUGGUAGAAGGGGUGCUCCUGGCGGUGACGGCGCUUGCGGCUCGAGCGGCUGGGAGUGGCAGCAAAGCGGCCCAGGCGACUGGAUAACAGAACCACAGGUCCCUGCUAAAGUCGUAAGACGACGUAUAGGGGCUGAUGCCUGCCCAGUGCUGGAAGGUUAAGGGGAGGGGUUGACGCCUCGAACCGAAGCCCCAGUAAACGGCGGCUGUAACUAUAACGGUCCUAAGGUAGCGAAAUUCCUUGUCGGGUAAGUUCCGACCCGCGCGAAAGGCAUCACGAUCUGGGCGGUGUCUCAACCCGAGGCUCGGUGAAACUGCGAUCACGGUUAGGACGCCGUGAACCCGUAGCAGGACAAAAAGACCCCAUGGAGCUUUACUACAGCUUGCCAUUGGAUGCGGUCCACGGCUGCGUAGCAUAGGUGGGAGCCUAGGAGGCCGCCCUUGCGGGGGCGGCGGAGGCAGCAGUGAAAUACCACUCUGUCGUGGAUUGCGUCCUCACAUGUUUGACACAUGGACCGUGGCUGGUGGGUAGUUUGUCUGGGGCGGAUGCCUCCCAAAAGGUAACGGAGGCGCGCAAUGGUUCCCUCACGCGGGAUGGCAACCCGCGGUUGAGUGCAAAGGCACAAGGGAGCUUGACUGCAAGGCAAACAGGCCGCGCAGAGACGAAAGUCGGCCUUAGUGAUCCUACGGCCCGGAGUG